rfam:Myotis brandtii contig162828, whole genome shotgun sequence.
GGCGGUUCUUGGGUGACACACCCUGGAAUCGGGCUCCCUCCUCUCUGGUUCUGGGUGUGUCAUGCAAGAACUACA